rnacentral:pre_miRNA from 7 species
UUGUAGGGACAUUAGAGACUGCCAGUGAAAGACCCCCGAAGGGAGACCCUCACUCAAGCCUCAGGACAGCCGCGGACCCAAGAAGACACUGAGACCC